GAGUAACCUGCCCCCGAGAGCGGGAUAGCCCUGGGAAACUGGGAUUAAUACCGCAUAGUAUCGAAAGAUUAAAGCAGCAAUGCGCUUGGGGAUGGGCUCGCGGCCUAUUAGUUAGUUGGUGAGGUAACGGCUCACCAAGGCGAUGACGGGUAGCCGGUCUGAGAGGAUGUCCGGCCACACUGGAACUGAGACACGGUCCAGACACCUACGGGUGGCAGCAGUCGAGAAUCAUUCACAAUGGGGGAAACCCUGAUGGUGCGACGCCGCGUGGGGGAAUGAAGGUCUUCGGAUUGUAAACCCCUGUCAUGUGGGAGCAAAUUAAAAAGAUAGUACCACAAGAGGAAGAGACGGCUAACUCUGUGCCAGCAGCCGCGGUAAUACAGAGGUCUCAAGCGUUGUUCGGAAUCACUGGGCGUAAAGCGUGCGUAGGCUGUUUCGUAAGUCGUGUGUGAAAGGCGCGGGCUCAACCCGCGGACGGCACAUGAUACUGCGAGACUAGAGUAAUGGAGGGGGAACCGGAAUUCUCGGUGUAGCAGUGAAAUGCGUAGAUAUCGAGAGGAACACUCGUGGCGAAGGCGGGUUCCUGGACAUUAACUGACGCUGAGGCACGAAGGCCAGGGGAGCGAAAGGGAUUAGAUACCCCUGUAGUCCUGGCAGUAAACGGUGCACGCUUGGUGUGCGGGGAAUCGACCCCCUGCGUGCCGGAGCUAACGCGUUAAGC
rnacentral:rRNA from 1 species